rnacentral:rRNA from 1 species
UCUUNCNNNUUUUGGCCCCNUUGNCAUCUAGCNCGGUANCCNGGGNAUCCNAUGAUCCAAGCUUAAGGAGGUGAUCCAGCCGCACCUUCCGAUACGGCUACCUUGUUACGACUUCACCCCAGUCAUCGGUCUUACCUUAGGAAGCGCCCUCCUUGCGGUUAGGCAACCUACUUCGGGUACUCCCAACUCCCGUGGUGUGACGGGCGGUGUGUACAAGGCCCGGGAACGUAUUCACCGCGGCGUGCUGAUCCGCGAUUACUAGCGAUUCCGACUUCAUGUAGGCGAGUUGCAGCCUACAAUCCGAACUGAGAAUGGUUUUAAGAGAUUAGCUAAACAUCACUGUCUCGCGACUCGUUGUACCAUCCAUUGUAGCACGUGUGUAGCCCAGGUCAUAAGGGGCAUGAUGAUUUGACGUCAUCCCCACCUUCCUCCGGUUUAUCACCGGCAGUCUCGUUGGAGUGCCCAACUUAAUGAUGGCAACUAACAAUAGGGGUUGCGCUCGUUGCGGGACUUAACCCAACAUCUCACGACACGAGCUGACGACAACCCAUGCACCACCUGUAUCCCCGUGUCCCCGAANGAACUUCCUAUCUCCUAGGAAAUAGCACGAAUUAUGUCAAGAACCUGGUUAAGGUUCUUCCGCGUUUGCU